rnacentral:misc_RNA from 1 species
GAUGAAGAACGUAGCGAAAUGCGAUAAGUAAUGUGAAUUGCAGAAUUCAGUGAACCAUCGAAUCUUUGAACGCACAUUGCGCCCGGCAGUAAUCUGCCGGGCAUGCCUGUCCGAGCGUCAUUUCUGCCCUCGAGCGAGCCCAGCAUCUAGGUGCUGGGCCCGCCCGGCGUUGGGGCACUACGGGAAGCCCUGUGCUGUCCCCCGUAGGCCCCGAAAUGAAGUGGCGGUCCUGCCGCGGCGCCCCCUGCGUAGUAUAACAGCUCGCUUCGGGACCCGGUGGAGGCCUGCCGUCAAACCUUACUCUCUAAGUUUGACCUCGGAUCAGGUAGGGUUACCCGCUGAACUUAAGCAUAUCAAUAAGCGGAGGA